GAAAGACGUGAUAAGCUGCGAAAAGCCACGGGGAGGAGCAAAUAUCCUUUGAUCCGUGGAUGUCUGAAUGGGGAAACCCGGCAGGAAAGACUCCUGUCACCAUGCACUGAAUACAUAGGUGUAUGGAGGGAACCCGGUGAACUGAAACAUCUAAGUAGCCGGAGGAAGAGAAAGAAAAAUCGAUUUCCAAAGUAGCGGCGAGCGAAAUGGAAAGAGCCCAAACCAGGGUGCGUGCACCCUGGGGUUCGGACCGCAUAAUUGAUUCAACGAAUUUAGCAGAAUGGUUUUGGGAAAGCCAGCCAAAGAGGGUGAAAGCCCCGUAAGCGAAAGACGAAUUGACAUGGCGGUAUCCAGAGUACAUCGAGACACGAGAAACCUUGAUGGAAUGAGCGGGGACCACCCCGUAAGGCUAAAUACUCCUUAGUGACCGAUAGCGCAUAGUACUGUGAAGGAAAGGUGAAAAGGACCCCGGGAGGGGAGUGAAAGAGAACCUGAAACCCUGUGUUUACAAGCUGUGGAACCUCUUUAUAUGGGGAACCGCGUACUUUUUGUAGAACGGUCCGGCGAGUUACGGAUGCUGGCAAGGUUAAGAACUUAAGGUUCGGAGCCGAAGGGAAACCAAGUCUGAAUAGGGCGCCAUAGUCAGUAUACGUAGACCCGAAACCGGGUGAUCUAUCCAUGUCCAGGUUGAAGAUGCCGUAAAAGGCGUUGGAGGACCGAACCCACAUCCGUUGAAAAGGGUGGGGAUGAGGUGUGGAUAGGGGAGAAAUUCCAAUCGAACCCGGAGAUAGCUGGUUCUCCUCGAAAUAGCUUUAGGGCUAGCCUCGUAUUAGUCUAGCGGAGGUAGAGCACUGAAUUUCCUAGGGGGCGUCAAAGCUUACCAAAGAAUAUCAAACUCCGAAUGCCGCAUAGAUGAUGUACGGGAGUCAGACUGCACGAGAUAAGUUGGGUAGUCAAAAGGGAAAGAGCCCAGACCACCGGCUAAGGUCCCAAAGUGCGUGUUAAGUGGAAAAGGAUGUGGGAUUUCAGAGACAACUAGGAUGUUGGCUUAGAAGCAGCCAUACAUUCAAAGAGUGCGUAAUAGCUCACUAGUCGAGAGGUCCUGCGCCGAAAAUGUCCGGGGCUAAAACACGACACCGAAGCUGUGGAAUUACACAUAAGUGUAAUUGGUAGAGGAGCAUUCUUAAAACGACGAAGC
rnacentral:rRNA from 1 species